AUCAAAGACAUAACCAAAACGAAU
rnacentral:siRNA from 1 species